CGGGGGGUGACCUGCCAGGGCCCAGCAUGGGGGAGGCAGGGGCCGUGGACUGAGGACAGCCCCGGGCCGCCCCAGCUCCCUUCCCAAGGGCGGGGUCCCACUAGAGCUCUGGGUGGAAAACCCUAGACAGAGAAGCCCAGGGGGGCAGGUGUGCAUAUGCCCCUGCUCACCUGGCCCUGGCUUCCUCCUGGCCCAGGACCAAGUGCAAACACCUGCUGGGCAUGGAAAGCCCUUGCCUUCGAUGAGAUGCUCCAUGCACACAGUGCCUGGCCCAUCACAAGUGCUUAAUAAAUGAUUUUGCCUCCCUCCUCCCUCCCUUCCUUCUUUACUCCCUUCCUUCCUUCCUUCCUUCCUUCCUUCCUUCCUUCCUUCCUUCCUUCCUUCCUUCCUUCCUUCCUUCCUUCCUUCCUUCCUUCCUUCCUUCCUUCCUUCCUCUUCCCUUUCUUUCCUCCCUCCUUCCUUCCUCCUUCCCUUUCUUCCCUCCCUCCUCCCUCCCUCCCUUCCUUCUUUACUCCCUCCCUCCCUCCCUUCCUUCCUUCCUUCCUUCCUUCCUUCCUUCCUUCCUUCCUUCCUUCCUCUUCCCUUUCUUUCCUCCCUCCUUCCUUCCUCCAUCCCUCCCUUCUUUCCUUCCUUCCUCCUUCCCUUUCUUCCCUCCCUCCUCCCUCCCUCCCUUCCUUCUUUACUCCCUCCCUCCCUUCCUUCCUUCCUUCCUUCUUUCCUUCCUUCCUUCCUUCCUUCCUUCCUUCCUUCCUCUUCCCUUUCUUUCCUCCCUCCUUCCUUCCUCCAUCCCUCCCUUCUUUCCUUCCUUCCUCCUUCCCUUUCUUCCCUCCUCCCUCCCUCCCUUCCUUCCUUCCUUCCUUCCUUCCUUCCUUCCUUCCUUCCUUCCUUCCUUCCUCUUCCCUUUCUUCCCUCCCUCCUCCCUCCCUCCCUUUCUCCCUCCCUCCCUUCCUUCUUUACUCCCUUCUUUCCUUCCUUCCUUCCUUCCUUCCUUCCUUCCUUCCUCUUCCCUUUCUUCCCUCCCUCCUCCCUCCCUCCCUCCCUUCUUCCCUCCCUCCUCCUUCCCUUUCU
rnacentral:lncRNA from 1 species